rnacentral:rRNA from 1 species
ACUUAUGGAUGGACCCGCGUCGCAUUAGCUAGUUGGUGAGGUAACGGCUCACCAAGGCAACGAUGCGUAGCCGACCUGAGAGGGUGAUCGGCCACACUGGGACUGAGACACGGCCCAGACUCCUACGGGAGGCAGCAGUAGGGAAUCUUCCGCAAUGGACGAAAGUCUGACGGAGCAACGCCGCGUGAGUGAUGAAGGCUUUCGGGUCGUAAAACUCUGUUGUUAGGGAAGAACAAGUGCUAGUUGAAUAAGCUGGCACCUUGACGGUACCUAACCAGAAAGCCACGGCUAACUACGUGCCAGCAGCCGCGGUAAUACGUAGGUGGCAAGCGUUAUCCGGAAUUAUUGGGCGUAAAGCGCGCGCAGGUGGUUUCUUAAGUCUGAUGUGAAAGCCCACGGCUCAACCGUGGAGGGUCAUUGGAAACUGGGAGACUUGAGUGCAGAAGAGGAAAGUGGAAUUCCAUGUGUAGCGGUGAAAUGCGUAGAGAUAUGGAGGAACACCAGUGGCGA